rnacentral:rRNA from 1 species
UACGUAGGGUGCAAGCGUUAAUCGGAAUUACUGGGCGUAAAGCGUGCGCAGGCGGUGAUGUAAGACAGUUGUGAAAUCCCCGGGCUCAACCUGGGAACUGCAUCUGUGACUGCAUCGCUGGAGUGCGGCAGAGGGGGAUGGAAUUCCGCGUGUAGCAGUGAAAUGCGUAGAUAUGCGGAGGAACACCGACGGCGAAGGCAAUCCCCUGGGCCUGCACUGACGCUCAUGCACGAAAGCGUGGGGAGCAAACAGG